GUGCAUUUAUUAUCGCUUGUGGGACCAAAACGAAUCAAUGUUCCAGAAUAUUUUAGAUGUAUUUCAUAAUUUGUGUUCCAGUUAUGCAAAUUAAGAACCAAAUUAAGACAUUCACCCUUUUAGUGGGAAAAGUUGAUCUAUUUUUCAAAUAAAAUAAUCAUGCAAGUUCAAUUUUUCUACAGUCUUUGAUUCACUUCUUAAAUAUGAAGGUCCAGUUCGGUCUGAUUCUUAGUUGCCUGAUUAUAUACAGUUUCCUCGACGGUAACUGGAGUGUCAAACCAGUAGUAAAUGUCAUUCUGGAGAAUGUUGGUCGGAGAUCCUAAAGAUUUUUAGAAGGAUGCAAGGAAGACGCAAGGACAUUUAAUAUGUUGAAUAUGUACAUUUAAAAAUGUUUUAACAACCAAGAUCUUAAAUAAAUAAAAAAGUCCUUCAAAGUAAAAAUAGAGAAAGCAUGAAGAAUAUGAACUGAUCAGCACCGUCUAUGUCGGUAUAUGGCCAACUAGAUAUUCUAGAUACUAUAAAGAAACAGUUGACAGUGUUUGGCUUAGAUGAAGGAUAUAUGUACAUA